UGGGGAAUAUUGCGCAAUGGGGGGAACCCUGACGCAGCCAUGCCGCGUGAAUGAAGAAGGCCUUCGGGUUGUAAAGUUCUUUCGGUAUUGAGGAAGGAGUGUAUGUUAAUAGCAUACAUUAUUGACGUUAAAUACAGAAGAAGCACCGGCUAACUCCGUGCCAGCAGCCGCGGUAAUACGGAGGGUGCGAGCGUUAAUCGGAAUAACUGGGCGUAAAGGGCACGCAGGCGGUUAUUUAAGUGAGGUGUGAAAGCCCCGGGCUUAACCUGGGAAUUGCAUUUCAGACUGGGUAACUAGAGUACUUUAGGGAGGGGUAGAAUUCCACGUGUAGCGGUGAAAUGCGUAGAGAUGUGGAGGAAUACCGAAGGCGAAGGCAGCCCCUUGGGAAUGUACUGACGCUCAUGUGCGAAAGCGUGGGGAGCAAACA
rnacentral:rRNA from 1 species